GUGGCUCGGCUCGGCGGGCUUGGGCUCGGUCGGCUUGGGCUCGGUCGGCUUGGGCUCGGCGGGCUCGGGGUCCGCGGGCUUCG
rnacentral:tRNA from 1 species